GACGAACGCUGGCGGCGUGCUUAACACAUGCAAGUCGAACGGUAAGGCCCUUCGGGGUACACGAGUGGCGAACGGGUGAGUAACACGUGGGUGAUCUGCCCUGCACUUCGGGAUAAGCCUGGGAAACUGGGUCUAAUACCGGAUAGGACCACUGCCUGCAUGGGUGGUGGUGGAAAGCUGUUGCGGUGUGGGAUGGGCCCGCGGCCUAUCAGCUUGUUGGUGGGGUGAUGGCCUACCAAGGCGACGACGGGUAGCCGGCCUGAGAGGGUGACCGGCCACACUGGGACUGAGAUACGGCCCAGACUCCUACGGGAGGCAGCAGUGGGGAAUAUUGCACAAUGGGCGCAAGCCUGAUGCAGCGACGCCGCGUGAGGGAUGACGGCCUUCGGGUUGUAAACCUCUUUCAGCACCGACGAAGCGCAAGUGACGGUAGGUGCAGAAGAAGGACCGGCCAACUACGUGCCAGCAGCCCGCAGUAA
rnacentral:rRNA from 1 species